rnacentral:tRNA from 1 species
GGAGGGUACAGCUCAGUGGUAGCGCAUGUGCUUACCAAUAUAAGGUCCUGGGUUCAAUCCUCAGACCCUCCA